UGUAGGACAUCCAAGGUUACAGCAUACUGCAUGUUCUCAAUGGAAGCAAGAAGAACAUUACUCUCAGGCUCCAAUUUCUUCCCAUCUAAACCCACACCGAUCUGAAACGUGAAUGGAAGAAUAGAAGAACAUUACUCUCAGGCUCCAACUUCUUCCCAUCUAAACCCACACUAAUCUGAAACGUGAAUGGGAGAAAUUUCAAAGAAAGGAAAGAAACCAGUAUUUCAUCAACCAGCUGCAAAUGCACCCUAAGCACAGAAACAUACAAUGUGUACCAAACAUACAAAGAUAAGCACACAAACUGCUAUACUCUACCAGUUAAAUCAUAAUAUCCAGGAAAGAUGCAUUAUCUUAAAGCAGCCCCAAAAUUUGCAAAAUACGACAUGAAAGCAUAUUCUUUUCUGAAACGCUUGUACCUUUUGUGUAGAGGGAGUAUAUCUUGCCAUACAUAUGCCGGCAAAUUUGAUAGAUGAAGAUGAUUAAGCCGCACGCUUACUUCAUACAUAUUUUUUAAUACUGGUUCCAUGUUAGUUAAUGAAGCUUUUGACUAAUCAAAAAGGAAAAUCCAGAAUCCACCAACAAA
rnacentral:lncRNA from 1 species